rnacentral:tRNA from 1 species
ACCUGGGUGGCUCAGUGGGUUGAGGGUGUCUGACUUCAGCUCAGGUCAUGAUCUCAAGGUUUGUGAGUUCGAACCCCACAUCAGGCU